rnacentral:tRNA from 1 species
CGAGGGCGAUACAAGAUCUGCUAACUCUUUAAUCUGGAAUUAACUACCAGCCCCCUC